rnacentral:rRNA from 1 species
UACGUAGGGAGCUAGCGUUGUUCGGAAUUACUGGGCGUAAAGCGCACGUAGGCGGCUUUGUAAGUUAGAGGUGAAAGCCCGGGGCUCAACCCCGGAAUUGCCUUUAAGACUGCAUCGCUUGAAUCCAGGAGAGGUGAGUGGAAUUCCGAGUGUAGAGGUGAAAUUCGUAGAUAUUCGGAGGAACACCAGCGGCGAAGGCUGCACUCUGGGCUGGUACUGACGCUGAGGAGCGAAAGCGUGGGUAGCGAACAGG